AUCUCCACUGUGCCAUAUGUAUGGACCUGAUGAAAGACCCUCUUCAGUGUCCA
rnacentral:sRNA from 1 species